ACUCUCGAACCUCGCUGCCGCCCACCGUGCGCCCACAGCUGUCCCCGACCGACCACUUCAUCCUCCGGGUCCCCUCGCCCCCCAGACAGAGGCCAGGUCGGGACAAGACCCUACUCCUUUGUACCCGUGGAUACAGUCGCCGCCUGGGCAAGGCAAGUUCUACAAGCCGAGGACCCGAGGAAAACCCGCUGUCCAGGAACCCCAAGGCCCGGGGAAGCUGCCAGGCACUGCUCCUGGACCAAACAUCUGCAGUGAUCCAGUGUGGUCCUGGGCCAGGAGGGUCACCCUUGGGGAGGGGGCGAACGGACAGCUGCGGUCUGUGUGGCCAGCGCCAGCAGAGCCGCUGACUUUUCACCUGCCACGAGAUGCCAUGGUGCUGAGUGCCCAGGCUCCCAGCUCCAGCGCAGCAGGCGGCAGUGUCCCCAGGCAGUGGCUAGCUCCAACAUUAGGGUUGGGCCCUGCAGAGACCCUGUGUCAACCCUGUCAACCUCUCAGAACCAUCGCCCUCGGAGCACAAAGACCUCGGCUGACGUUUUAGUAGAACUGUUCAGAGAAAACUCACUUCCUAGGCCCAAUGCACAUGAAACCGUUGAGGAGCCGGCGCCGUGGUGCAGUAGGUUAACCCUCCACCUGCGGCACCAGCAUCCCAUAUGGGCACCGGUUCUAGUCCCAGCUGCUCUUCUGACCCACCUCUCUGCUAUGGCCUGGGAAAGCAGUAGAAGGUGGCCUAAGUGCUUAGGCCCCUGCACCUGCGUGGAAGACACGAAGAAGCUCCUGGCUCCUGGCUUCGGAUUGGCUCAGCUCUGGCCGUUGCAGUCACUUGGGGAGUGAACCAGCGGAUGGAAGACCUCUCUCUCUCUCCCACUGUCUGU